rnacentral:rRNA from 1 species
UAGAAGUUUGAUCCUGGCUCAGAACGAACGCUGGCGGCAUGCCUAACACAUGCAAGUCGAACGAGNCCUUCGGGUCUAGUGGCGCACGGGUGAGUAACGCGUGGGAAUCUGCCCUUGGGUUCGGAACAACAGUUGGAAACUUCUGCUAAUACCGGAUGAUGCCUUCGGUCCAAAGAUUUAUCGCCCAGGGAUGAGCCCGCGUAGGAUUAGCUAGUUGGUGAGGUAAAGGCUCACCAAGGCGACGAUCCUUAGCUGGUCUGAGAGGAUGAUCAGCCACACUGGGACUGAGACACGGCCCAGACUCCUACGGGAGGCAGCAGUGGGGAAUAUUGGACAAUGGGCGAAAGCCUGAUCCAGCAAUGCCGCGUGAGUGAUGAAGGCCUUAGGGUUGUAAAGCUCUUUUACCCGGGAU